rnacentral:tRNA from 1 species
AGUUUGGUACUUUAAGCUAAAAGGCGAGAUUUGCAUUUUCGUAAUGAGGGGGCUCCCCUCUCAAACUA